rnacentral:rRNA from 1 species
UGGGGAAUUGUUCGCAAUGGGCGCAAGCCUGACGACGCAACGCCGCGUGAAGGAUGAAGUAUUUCGGUAUGUAAACUUCGAAAGAAUAGGAAGAAUAAAUGACGGUACUAUUUAUAAGGUCCGGCUAACUACGUGCCAGCAGCCGCGGUAAUACGUAGGGACCAAGCGUUGUUCGGAUUUACUGGGCGUAAAGGGCGCGUAGGCGGCAAUUCAAGUCAUCUGUGAAAUCUCCGGGCUUAACUCGGAACGGUCAGAUGAUACUGCUUUGCUAGAGUGCAGAAGGGGCAAUCGGAAUUCUUGGUGUAGCGGUGAAAUGCGUAGAUAUCAAGAGGAACACCUGAGGUGAAGACGGGUUGCUGGGCUGACACUGACGCUGAGGCGCGAAAGCCAGGGGAGCAAACGGGGAUUAGAUACCCCCGUAGUCCCUGAGCGGGCUGGCAAGGCGCAU